rnacentral:rRNA from 1 species
GAGUUUGAUCAUGGCUCAGAUUGAACGCUGGCGGCAGGCUUAACACAUGCAAGUCGAGCGGAGAUGAGGUGCUUGCACCUUAUCUUAGCGGCGGACGGGUGAGUAAUGCUUAGGAAUCUGCCUAUUAGUGGGGGACAACAUUCCGAAAGGAAUGCUAAUACCGCAUACGUCCUACGGGAGAAAGCAGGGGAUCUUCGGACCUUGCGCUAAUAGAUGAGCCUAAGUCGGAUUAGCUAGUUGGUGGGGUAAAGGCCUACCAAGGCGACGAUCUGUAGCGGGUCUGAGAGGAUGAUCCGCCACACUGGGACUGAGACACGGCCCAGACUCCUACGGGAGGCAGCAGUGGGGAAUAUUGGACAAUGGGGGAAACCCUGAUCCAGCCACGCCGCGUGUGUGAAGAAGGCCUUAUGGUUGUAAAGCACUUUAAGCGAGGAGGAGGCUACUGAGACUAAUACUCUUGGAUAGUGGACGUUACUCGCAGAAUAAGCACCGGCUAACUCUGUGCCAGCAGCCGCGGUAAUACAGAGGGUGCGAGCGUUAAUCGGAUUUACUGGGCGUAAAGCGUGCGUAGGCGGCUUUUUAAGUCGGAUGUGAAAUCCCCGAGCUUAACUUGGGAAUUGCAUUCGAUACUGGGAAGCUAGAGUAUGGGAGAGGAUGGUAGAAUUCCAGGUGUAGCGGUGAAAUGCGUAGAGAUCUGGAGGAAUACCGAUGGCGAAGGCAGCCAUCUGGCCUAAUACUGACGCUGAGGUACGAAAGCAUGGGGAGCAAACA